rnacentral:rRNA from 1 species
CACGUAGGCACCAAGCGUUGUCCGGAUUUAUUGGGCGUAAAGAGCUCGUAGGCGGUUCAGUAAGUCGGGUGUGAAAACUCUGGGCUUAACCCAGAGCCGCCACCCGAUACUGCUGUGACUAGAGUCCGGUAGGGGAGUGGGGAAUUCCUAGUGUAGCGGUGAAAUGCGCAGAUAUUAGGAGGAACACCGGUGGCGAAGGCGCCACUCUGGGCCGGAACUGACGCUGAGGAGCGAAAGCGUGGGUAGCAAACGAG